UACGUAGGGGGCAAGCGUUGUCCGGAAUCAUUGGGCGUAAAGAGCGUGUAGGCGGCCCGGUAAGUCCGCUGUGAAAGUCCAGGGCUCAACCCUGGGAUGCCGGUGGAUACUGUCGGGCUCGAGUCCGGAAGAGGAGUGUGGAAUUCCUGGUGUAGCGGUGAAAUGCGCAGAUAUCAGGAGGAACACCAAUGGCGAAGGCAGCACUCUGGGACGGUACUGACACUGAGGCGCGAAAGCGUGGGGAGCGAACAGG
rnacentral:rRNA from 1 species